rnacentral:lncRNA from 1 species
CCCUUAUUGAAAGGGUUGGAAAAGGAUCAGAUUGGGUGGAUGGCUGAAAUGCUUGUGUGACUCCAUCCAUGAAUUAGGCUAUGUGUGUGUGAAAGAGCGAAGGGAGGGAGGAAGGUUGGCUUAUGAAUUCCACUGGGAACUGCUCAUAUAGGCAGGAAAUACUGGAUGUCCAGGAAUCAAUGGAAAAACAUUCAAUAUGCUCUAAAUGAUUACAAUAUACAAAACUUACGUAAAAACAUGUGUUUUUCAGUUGAUUACAAUGUGAAUUUUAUCAUGUCUUGAUCUGUGAUUGGCACAAUAUAUUACACUAACCCCAUAUAAUACUCUCAGCAAAUUACUAAAAAAGUCAUAAAUCUAUUGGAUGAAGGUCAAUUGUGUUAUAAAUCUUUCAAUUUUGCCAAUUUAGUCAUAAGUAUUUUGACAAUUUGCAAUGAAGUUUUUCCAACCAAAUAUGACUAGAAAAUCAAUAAGGUGAAUGCCAGCUAUCCCGUGACACGACUGGUAUUGACGUGGACAACGUUUGUAAUUUUUUUUUUUUUAAAUGUUUUGAAUUUUGUUUUUCUUUGUUGGGAUUCUAGCUAGUAGGGCCCUUGUAAUGACCGGUGAUGCCCUCGUCGGCCACAAGCAAGCACCUGCGUGCCCUCACUAGCCACAAGCGAGUGCCUUUGGGCCCUUAUUGAUUGCAAGUGAGGGAGUCACAUCCCUCCCCUGUGGCCAAUGAGGGUCAACCGGCAGCCUCACCGGCUCAAAGUUGGAAAAAAAAAAAGAAAAAGAAAAGAAAAGAAAAGAAGAGAACAUAAAAGAAAAAAAAAUUAAAAAAGCUAUCCACAUAAGCACCAACCAUGCUAGAAUAGCCAGCGUCUACGUUAGCGAUUUCCGGUCAAUUCAUUAGUGAUCGCCAUGUUUAGAACUAAAUUGACCAAGUAAUGUUAAUCUUAUUCCUUUUUUGGUGCAUUAAAGGGAAGUGCAUCCAACAUGACAACCUAUGACAUUACCUAGUAUAUAACAUCCUCUCUCUCUCUCUCUCUCUCUCUCUCUCUCUCUCUCUCUCUCUCUCUCUCUCUCUCUCUCUCUCUCUCUCUCUCUCUCUCUCUCUCUCUCUCUCUCUCUCUCUCUCUCUCUCACCUGCUUGAUGUGGUCGUGGAAAUCAUAGGCCAUGUUGAUCUCUUCUCACCUGCUCUCUCUGUCUCUGGAAAUCACACGCCGCGCGCUCUCUCUCUCUUCUUCAAGUUCAUGCUCAUGCAUGUUGGCAGAGUAGAGAGCUCUCUCUCUAUAUACACACAUGGUUAUUCCUUGUGAUCGCGCUACACUACAAAUUCAUAAAAAUCGUCCAUUUUUUUUUUUUUUUGCAUCAUGUGCCCUUACGUAAAGGGCAAGUCAAGUUGUUUCUUCUUCCACGUAUGCUUUACUAAAAUGGUUAAAUUAUACUUUCGAUCCCUGAACUUGAGAGCAAUUUUUUUCUCCAAUCAAAUGCUCCUCAACUUUUAGCUUGUUUCAUCAAGUUAUGAACUUGUAUAGCUUUUCUAAUCAAGUCUCUUCAGCUUCAAAUAUAGUUAAUCGGAUCCGACGCAUCUUUUUCCAUAAACUAUCACAUCUUUCUCUUGUCUAUUUUCAUCACCUACAUAUUCCUUCUAUUCUCAAUCUUUCUUUGACACGCUGUUAGGUUUAACCGUCUCAUUUUUGGUACAAUUGCAGAUGAGUUGAACUAUCAGGAGGAAUCUAUUAAAUUUUGCUAAAUAAAGGGACCAUUCAUUGAAUAGUCUCACGCCCUAGUAUUCCUUUGUCUUUUUAUAACAAUGAGAUGUCUGGGGCAGAGCACUCGACUAAUUAUUACUGGGUAUUGUGGUCCUUCAUUCCCCACACAUCAUGCGUAAUCACCGAAAAUACAAGGAUCUGUGCACGUAGGGGCUCGAGAGAAAAGUGCAAGUGUGAUGAUUUGAACUCAUGUCAUGAGUGAAAAAGAGACACGAAUUCACCACUUAAGCAACCCCUUGGAUUUAAAUCUGGAGAUUAUUCUAAAUUGAAUGAAUAUGAGACAUGACAAAGUCUAAAACGGUUAUCACUGCAUGUGAGACAUAUAUGAAUACACGGACAAUAUUUUAGCAUAAUAUUUAGUUGGUUCUUUUCAUCAUUUUAAUUCUACAAUAUAGGAGUGAUUUUUACAACUCUAUAUAAUGAGCCGUGUGAAUCUAAUUCUAGUAAAAAUUAUAUAUAUUUACUUGUAGGUCUUGUUCAUCAAUGUAAUUAUAGCCUCCUAUUAGGGAAGUGUUUUACUUCCUAUUGGUGGACAAGUUGGGCUUGAAGAAUAUGCCGGAACUCUGGUCUGCACACACGAACACGGGUUGAAGUGUUCGAAUAUUUUAUCUAGAUUCGUGCUCCAAUAUUUAAAUUAGGUAGGGAAGAAUAUGUGCAGAUACUGAGCUUAAAAGGAAGAUGAUAACCUAAAUACUAUAAACUUUACUUGAGUCCCUUGGCAGUAUUUAUAGACAAGCUUACCCUGGCGGGUGAAUGGUCGCUAACAUAGGUGAUGGCUUGCUUGGACACGUGAGGACUUUGACAUGCCAGGUGGGUCACUGACAAUUUUACAAAUGGGUGGAAAUUAGUCUAUGAUAUUUGAGCCCAACUCUUUAUGAGGUCUAUAGGGAUUUGCACAAGACCCAUAUUCGACCCAUUUAGUUUAUCAGCUCCAACCCAUAAUUUGAGAUGAAGAAACUUCUUCUGCUGCAAGAAGAGCACACUUGGCUAUUAUAUCCUACGUCACGAACACUUCUGACUCUUGCAAGUUAAGUCUUAAAGAGUUGAUAAUUGGAAAAUAUAAUUGAAAGGACGAAACAAAAAAGUUUAAUGUAUGUUAUUCACAAGAUAAAAGGAAAAAUAAUAGUGUUAUACUUAAGUGAACCUUAAAACCUUAAAAGGUCAUGUUAGCAUCGAAAUCAAUGCUUGAACGAGAUUCAUAAUUUAUAGAAGGACUUUUACCACCACCUUCACACUUCCAUCCAUAACUGACGCUCAAGCUCCCUCACUAACCCGACCAGUCAGUCCAUGGAGCUGCCACAAUUUAGAAAAAAAAAAUAUUAAAAAUAGAUCAUGAUCGGGUUGGGCACAGGUUGUUGAAUAUAUACUUUAUGUAAAUUAAUCAAUUUUGGCUGAAUAUUUUCGACUUAACCCAAAAAACCCAUUUGACGGGUGUACAUAGACCAAUGGGCACUGGAAUUUAGAGUAGCGGACAAACCAUUGCUCCCCCUAGUGGAUUUAUGCAAGGUGGUGGUCUUGCCGAGGGACAACCUGUCAAGUGCGAUGGAUGUGCCUCAUUGUCAAAGGCUCACCUUGACCCAUUGGACAAGGCAUGUAACAUGUUGGAUCAUGUAAGGACAUGUAGUGUGGGUCCGAUAAUGAGCUAAAUCCGGAAUUGGGUUUUUUUUUAAUCAUCCCACAUCAUGUGUUAUCAGGAAAUAAGAGCAAGUUGAAUAGAUGAAACAGAUCGACGCUCCUACGACUUUUCACAUGUGAGCUGUCUCGCUCACGCCACUGUCAAAAGAAGAAGCAGGAUCAUUGACUUGACCGAAACUCUCGCACUUCUUCAAUGAAAUGCAUCUGUCAACUGCACCUUGUUUACAUUUCUAACUAGCUAUAUACCUGCGGAUUUAAAUACGUACCGAGUCUUUUUACAAUUACAAAGAAUAUUUUAAAUAAAAAUAUGAUUGUCUUAAUAUAAUAGUGUGGACUUUUUUAUCAUCAUUAAUUAGUGUGAAAAUUCAAGAGAGAUAGAUUUCGGCAUAAUGUUGCCUUGAGGAAAGUUUUAUUAUAUUGAGAGCUAUAUAAAUCUUUGUAUAAAGGAACCAAUAUGUAAUACAUAGAAUAAUUAAUAAAAAGAAAUAGUAUAUUUUCAUAAUCUAGGUCUAUCAAUUCUAAUCCUCGAUUGAUUAAUUUAUCACUAUGAAGAUUCAAGAGAGACAUCUCUUGGAUGAUCUUCCUUGGAGAGGAAGUUGCAAUGAUUCUUGGGUGAUUCAUUAUUCCUCUUAGCUGACAAUGUUUCCUUUGACAGUUAGUAUCAUCCAUAAGCAUUUAAGGUGUAAAAUAUAAUUUUCAUAUUAAUAUAAUAAGUUGGUCCGACAUCGAUCUAGAAAGUAGUAUUUUUGAAAGGGAUCCUUCUUCACCAUAGCGGAGAUUUUCCUCUUUUGUUCGGUAUAAGCACUAUUUCGAACUUUAAAAUAACAAACGAUAUUAUGACCGCAUAAGGUAGGACAUUACAGAUGUAUGAAUUUCAUUUUGCAAUAUUCUACGAUUUCUUAAAUAUUGUGCGGAGAAAUGGAUUGUCUCAUCGUAACAUUGUAAAUUAUAGAAAAGAUCAUUUCAAAUACUUGACUCCCCUUGCAACUUUGACCUUUCCCUAUGUUUAUCAUUUCACACUCUCUGCAACAAAAUGCUGACAUAACAAUUUCAUCGAGCCUGGACUUUGUUAACUUUAGUUUCAAUGUGAUUGGGAAGAAGAUAUUUUCUUGAAACUCACGCUAAUUAUAAUCCAUGUACCAUAAAGUCAAAAAUUUUAUAUUCACGGAAAAGACUAAAGUCCUCGCCCUUACUAGACGGCACGGGCCAAUUAGAGAUUCAAAGGCAGAUUGUAGCCUCGUAGGAUAAGGACACAAAUGAUAAUGAACAAAAGUAGGCCAGAUGGUGUUUUCGCUUUCAUUGAUUGGUUUUAUCGUCAAUAGUUUCCUUGCAAAGUGCAACUCACAGCCUUGUAAUGUUUCUCAAAUUGAGAGGUCUAUAAAAGAUCUGUCAUCACUAUUCUUGCAUUGACGACAUCCACAUGCCUUCAUAUCAAAGAUCAUGUUGCCUGUUGAUAUAUUUUGCCAAUUGUCUCUAAACAACGUUGCACGCGUACCUUAAGAGACUCAAGUUGAGAAUGCUUUUACUAAUCCUCAUGGACCUUUUCUAUAGAGAUAAGUUACAUUUGAUUGUUUGGAUUUCUAAUUAGAAUAUGAUUGAAUAUGAUAAAAUAUGAAAUCUAAGGUUUUUGCUGACAUAACAAUUUCGUCGAGCCUGGACUUUGUUAAUUUUAGUCUCAAUGUGAUCAGGAAGAAGAUAUUUUCUCGAAACUCACGCUAAUUAUGUUCCAUGUACCGGAAAGUCAAAGAUUUUAUAUUCACGGAAAAUACUAAAGUCCUUGCCCUUACUAGACGGCACGGGCCAACUAGAGAUUCAAAGGUAGAUUGUAGCCUUGUAGGAUAAGGACCCAAAUGAUAAUGAACAAAAGUAGGCCAGAUGGUGUUUUGGCUUUCAUUGAUUGACUUUACCGUCAAUAGUUUCCUUGCAAAGUGCAACUCACAGCCUGGACUUUGUUAAUUUUAGUCUCAAUGUGAUUGGGAAGAAGAUAUUUUCUCGAAACUCACGCUAAUUAUGUUCCAUGUACGGGAAAGUCAAAGAUUUUAUAUUCACGGAAAAGACUAAAGUCCUUGUCCUUACUAGACAGCACGGGCCAACUAGAGAUUCAAAGGUAGAUUGUAGCCUUGUAGGAUAAGGACCCAAAUGAUAAUGAACUAAAGUAGGACAGAUGGUGUUUUGGCUUUCAUUGAUUGACUUUAUCCUCAAUAGUUUCCUUGCAAAGUGCAACUCACAGCCUUAUAAUGUUCUCAACUUGAGAGGUCUAUAAAAGAUCUGUCAUGACUAUUCUUGCACCGACGACAUCCACAUGCCUUCAUAUCAAAGAUCAUGUUGCCUGUUGAUAUAUUUUGCCAAUUGUCUCUAAACAACAUUGCACGCAUACCUUAAGAGACUCAAGUUGAGAAUGCUUUUACGAAUCCUCGUGGACCUUUUAUAUAGAGAUAAGUUACAUUCGGUCAUUUGGAUUUCUAAUUAGAAUAGGAUUGAAUAUGAUAAAAUAUGAAAUCUAGGGUUUUUGUUGACAUAACAAUUUCAUUGAGCCUGGACUUUGUUAAUUUUAGUCUCAAUGUGAUUGGGAAGAAGAUAUUUUCUUGAAACUCAUGCUAAUUAUGUGCCAUGUACCGGAAAGUCAAAGAUUUUAUAUUCACGGAAAAGACUAAAGUCCUCGCCCUUACUAGACGGCACGGGCCAAUUAGAGAUUCAAAGGUAGAUUGUAGCCUUGUAGGAUAAGGACACAAAUGAUAAUGAACAAAAGUAGGCUAGAUGGUGUUUUGGCUUUCAUUGAUUGACUUUAUCGUCAAUAGUUUCCUUUCAAAGUGCAACUCACAGCCUUGUAAUGUUCUCAACUUGAGAGGUCUAUAAAAGAUCCGUCAUGACUAUUCUUGCAUUGACGACAUCCACAUGUCUUCAUAUCAAAAGAUCAUGUUGCCUGUUGAUAUAUUUUGCCAAUUGUCUCUAAACAAUGUCGCACACAUACCUUAAGAGACUCAAGUUGAGAAUGCAUUUACUAAUCCUUAUGAACUUUUCCUAUAGAGAUAGUUACAUUUGGUCAUUUGGAUUUCUAAUUAGAAUAUGAUUGAAUAAGAUAAAAUAUGAAAUCUAGGGUUUUUGCUAUAUCAUAUCCACUCUGUAGAGAUUUCAGUAAUAAAAUCAAAUAUAUUAACAUCAUAUCAUACAUAUUAUUUGGUAUAAACGGUACAUCAGUAUAAAUAGAUCUAAACAUAACUGGAGAUAGUAAAAAUCUCUCACGACACUUUUGCUUACUUUAUUUUUAUUUUACUUUCCUCUCUUUUUUAGUUAAUUUUUUCCCUUCCAUCAUUCUUUAAUAAUAUUUUACUAAAUAAUAAACUGAACUAAUAUAUCUAAAAUACUAAAAUUCCUAAAAUAUUCCAAAAUGUAUCAUUUGUAGUAAAGAUAUAUAUUAUAACUGAUAAAUGAGAGUAAAGUUGAUUAUAAAUUGCGAGAAAAACCUACUUACAUGUACGGUCAAUACUGUUCUGUUUAUGAGUAUUGGAAAAUCAAAAUGAUAUACGUGUGGAAAAAGACUGAAGGCAUCACCCCCUACUGAACGGCCCGGUAAUUCAGGGAUUGUAAAAGACACAAUUGACAAUGGAAAAAAAAGUAGGCCACCGUGGUGUUUUCAGCUUUCAUUGACCGACCUUAUCACCGGCUAUCAACUUGCAUGUCACGGCCUUGUAAUUUUCUCAUUUUGAGAAAAGGAUAAAAAUUUCUGUCGUGACUAUUCUUGCAUUUGAUGAUAUCAUCAUGUCUUAGUAUGGUAGAACAUAUCGUCCGCUAGUAUAUAUUCACGAAUUGUUUCGUAACAACGUCAAGAGAGAACCAAAAAGAGUCGAGUUGAGAGCAUUUUGCUACAAAUCCUCGUGGACCUUGCCUAUAGAUAUCAGCUUUUGCCCAUGUCAUUCUCAUGCCUAACUACCAUCAUUCUUCUAUUAGGGAGUCUCCUAGCUUUAGCAAAAGAUGGCCAAGAUGAGAUUGAUCAAUUGGCUUUAUUAGAAUUCAAGGCUCGAAUAGCCGAUCCUAGUGGGGUUUUGAGCUCGUGGAAUGAUUCUAGCCACUUUUGCAAUUGGUACGGUGUCACAUGCGGUCACAAACACCGAAGAGUCACUGUACUAGACCUUGGCUCCAAGAACUUAUCCGGGGUCGUGUCGGCCCAUAUUGGUAAUUUGAGCUUUCUGAGGGGAGUCAAUCUGGAGAAUAACAGUUUUCAUGCCGAAAUUCCCCUACAUUUUGGCCGCUUGCUUCGAUUGCAGAAAUUGUUCCUUAAUAACAACUCGUUCAGUGGUCAGAUCCCUUCGAAUCUCUCCUAUUGCUCUAAUUUGCUCAUUCUUAACUUAGACUUGAACAUGCUCAAAGGAAAUUUGCCGACAGAACUAGGCUCAUUGUCCAAGCUCCGAGGACUUACACUUCAAGCCAACAGCUUGAUGGGAAACAUCCCGCCGUCUAUUGGAAACUUAUCAUCUCUUCGAAAGUUUGGAAUAACGCGGAAUAACUUCGAUGGGACGAUCCCAGAGACUCUUGGCCAGCUGAGAAAUCUAAAGAUCCUCUAUCUCGCCAGAAAUAAAUUUUUCGGUACAAUUCCUAUCUCAAUCUUCAAUAUAUCUGCUCGGGCAUGGCUUGGUGUAGGUGAAAACCAAUUAGAAGGGGGUUUACCUAGCGACUUAGGCUUCACUCUUCCAAAUAUCGAGAUUAUCAAUACGUAUCAGAACCACCUCACUGGACCCAUUCCCCAGUCAAUAUCCAACGCCUCUAACCUCAAGCUAAUCCAAAUCAAUGAGAACAAUUUUACUGGGAAAGUUCCUUCUUUUUCAAAGAUAAGAGGACUCUGGUGGUUUAGUAUUGGCCGCAACAACUUAGGAGGUGAGCAAUCUACUGAUUUGGACUUCCUCUGCUCUUUAACCAAUUCCACAAAAUUGGAACUUUUGGGCAUAGCGGAAAAUGCUUUUCAAGGACUAAUACCCGAUUGUAUCAGUAACCUCUCAAUCACCCUUUCUUGGUUUGGGUUAGCAUACAACCAUAUUUCUGGAACCUUACCUUCCGGAAUCGGAAAUCUCAUCAAUUUGGAGGAUUUGCGAAUGCAGGGCAAUAACAUCUUGGGAAACAUUCCUUUUGAGAUCGGAAAUUUGAACAAAUUGAAGCUUUUGGAUCUCGGCCAAAAUAAAUUAUUGGGGCAAAUACCGGAAUCGUUUGGGAAUUUAAGGAUGUUAAUUGAAUUGUACUUAGACAGCAAUAAUUUCCAAGGCUCGAUACCAUCGUCUCUAAAAAAUUGCCAAAAUCUACUUCUCUUGAACCUUUCGACCAACAACCUCAGCGGUUACAUGCCCAAGGAGAUUAUGGGCCUCUCAUCUUUGUCGAUUUGCCUUGACUUGUCUCGAAAUAGUCUUACUGGCUCCCUUCCAGAAGAAAUUGGAAAAUUGCAAAAUCUCGGUGAACUACGUCUUGACGGGAACAGAUUAUCUCAACAGAUUCCAAGCAGUAUAGGUAGUUGCAUAAGCAUGGAACGCCUAUAUGUACAAGAUAAUUUCUUUGAAGGGCCCCUACCAUCACUUAUGAGUUCCAUGCGAGGCCUUCAAGUUUUGAAUGUUUCCAACAACCAAUUGUCUGGCCAAAUCCCAAAAUUUCUAGAGUUGCUAAAUCUUACAAGUUUGAGCCUAUCUUACAAUGAUUUCGAGGGUGCAUUACCUACAGAAGGAGUUUUUAGAAGUGCCAUUUCAACUACAGUUGUUGGAAACAAGAAGCUUUGCGGGGGUCUCCCAGAUUUUCAACUACCGAAAUGCUACUACAAAGAGUCAAAACGGAUGAGAAUAAGCGGAACUGCAAAAAUUCUUAUAUCUACAGUCUCUGCUCUUGUUGGAGUAGCUUGCAUACUGUCUUUGUUAUACUUCUUCUGGUUUGGACACAAUAAGAACACAUCAGCUUCAAGCUCUUCUGAAGAUGGGUUUUUGCAUGUUUCUUAUCACGAUCUACUAAAAGCGACAGGUGGAUUCUCCCCCACCAAUUUGCUUGGCGUCGGAAGUUUUGGGUCCAUGUACAGAGGGUUGCUUGAUCAAACUCAGUCGGUUGUGGCCAUCAAGAUUCUCGACCUUACAUGUGGUGGAGCUUCCAAGAGCUUCAUAGCCGAGUGCGAGGUCUUGAGAAGAAUCCGACACUGUAAUCUCGUGAAGAUACUCACGGCAUGUUCUGGGUUUGAUUUUAAUGGAAAUGAUUUCAAGGCACUAGUCUACGAAUUCAUGUCAAACGGAAGCUUGGAUGAGUGGCUGCACCCAAUUGCAUCACAAUAUACGGAGAGAAACAAGUUGAGUCUACUUGAGAGAGUGAAUAUUGCAAUCGAUGUUGCUUGUGCACUAGAUUAUCUCCAUCAUCACUGUGAAAUCCCAAUAGUUCAUUGUGAUUUAAAGCCAAGUAAUGUCCUUCUUGAUGAUGAAAUGAAUGGACAUGUAGGCGAUUUUGGGAUUGCCAGGUUCCUUCCGGAAGCAAUACAUAAGUUGCUAGUAGAUCAAUCGAGCUCUGUCGGCGUAAAAGGAUCUUUUGGCUACGUAGCUCCAGGUAAUGAAGCACACCUUGGGUCAUUCAAUUUGUUUUUUUGAACACAUAAUCGUAGACAAAUCCUUAAACAAAAAGGCAUAGACAUAACACAUCACCGAAAAUAUAUUUCAAACUUAAUCAUUCACCUUGCAUCAAUACAUUGUUGAUUGUUGUAGAGUAUGGCAUGGGAAGUGCGGUAUCUAUAGAAGGAGAUGUGUAUAGCUUUGGAGUCCUCAUUUUGGAGAUGUUCACAGGCAAGAGGCCAAUUGAUGACAUGUUUGAAAAUGGGUUGGACCUUCAUCGCUUCACAAAGGCAGCUUUGGCAGACCAAGUGGAGAAGGCAAUUGAUCCCAUUUUGCUUCAGGAAAUCGAGGAGUUGAAGAAGAGACGGACAAUUGCUCCAGGCAAGAACAAGAGCUGGUGUAGUAUCAAGGAUUGUUUGGUUUUGAUCAUCGAAGUAGGAAUCACAUGCUCUUUUGAGUCUUCGAAGGAGCGAAUGGACAUCUAUGAUGCAUUGACUAAACUCCAAGGAAUGAGGAAGAAACUUCUUGCGUUCAUUGUCACUGUCUAGUUGAUGUCAAAUUUGAACUUCAUAUGGAGUCAUGUGGUCUUCAUGGUCCUUGCUUUUUGGUUUUUCUUCCUUUGUAAUUUAACCAUUCUCUAGAUGUUACGUUUUGUCUUUCAACAAUUUGGUCUUCAUGGUGGGUAUGCACUACUUGUACCUAUAAUUUUAGUAAAUGUUAAUUUUGUUGCGUCAUGCGAACCAAUAAGCUAGGCUACCGAAACCCAGUACUUCAUUCUUUCUUUGGUUCUUGUUUGUGUGUGUGGCUGCUAUUAAUGGUGCCUUUGCCUUUGCAUAAACAAAAGUGGUACACCCUUAGUUGUUCGAUUGGCUUCCACCUGAAGUAUCCUUUGGUCAAAGAAGCUCUAAAAAAAAGCUGCUCCAGUGACUCAUGAUAAUACUGUCAUUAUAAACAAAGUAUCCAGGCUUGGGAGCCCCUCUGCAAGUUUCUUCUAUUGUGAUGAGGAUUCUUUCACAGCCAUGGAAGAAACCAAUUCUUUGCUGUUAAUUAUUGUGUAGCGCAUAAUGAAAUGGGCAGGAUGGUGACUGGCUCUAAUAAUCCCGUCGUGUUGUAUGCAAGUGGUGGAAACAUAUCAGUAAUUGCCUAUAGUGAGAGAAGGCAUCGGAUUUUGGAGACAAUGUGAUAUUGCUACUGCAAACUGCUUAGACAGAUUUGCUAGAAUCUUGACACUGUCCAACAAUUCGAGCCCUGGAUACGUCAUGGAGCAGGUAUGUCACCAGAAAUGCCCGUGAAGAUCUCUACUUUGUCCAUGUGCCCUUGACUUUGUCUUAAAACUGUUAUUAUUUGCACUUCACUUUAUUUUAACUAAUUGAUUUAUUUUUUAUCUUUCUAUAAGUAAAAAGGAGGAUGUAAGGAUCUCAACAUGAAAGUUGUGGGAAACGAGCAAUUUUUUUUUCACAAAUGUGAGAGCAAGAGGACAAACGCUAUCAAGAAAACCAGCCAACACAUUUUUCAUUGAUGUGCAAAUGUCGCUCUCUAUUUUGCUGUUGCCUCUUGCUAGAGUGAUGUGAACUGAUGAUGCCAAAUGCGGAUACGGAUUAAUGUUUGUCAAUUUCAGUACUAUGAUGUUUCAAUGAUGUGCAAACGUAGCUUUCUCUUGUAUUUAUUUCCCUUGGAGAAUAAUACGAAAAUGUUGUUUCAUAGAGUGUUUCGACCAAAAUGGUAACUAGUUUUAGCUUUGAUAGUUAAGAACUCUGUGUAUGUUCAUAGCAGAUGCAGAUGUUCAUCAUCAACUCAUCAUUAAACACUUGAAUUAAUUGAAUUUUAAUAUUCUCAUUACAAAAAGAGUCAACAACAGUUACAACUUUAAUAUGUGCUCAAAGCACGCACAACACUAUAAGAAAGAGAAGAUAACGGAUGAGUUUACAAUGUAGUUAGACCUCCCACUGAUCACGUGCAACCUACAACAACCAAUCAAAGUCCUGUCACAUCUUGCUACAUUAUUUAUUAUCCAUGAAAUUAACAAACAUCUAAUAGAAUCCUCUCUUUUCUCUUCGUUGAAGGUCAACUUCAAUCAUUUUUCACAAGAGGCCUAAAAUGAUUUGCUGGAAGUGAUUAUCACCAAUGGGGAAUCAAUCCAUUGGAACCAUCUGAGGGGUUUCUGUGAGUUCUCAAAAUGGGAUGAUGUCGGAAAGAAUUUGAAGAAAUUGCAAUUUCCUUACUACAAUAUUAAGAGAAAAGAGCAUUGUCAGUACACUUAGUAUUUCCACAUCAAGCGAUAAAAAACGGCAUAUAAAGGAGAACUAUAACAGUUAUAUCUAGAAAACGCGGCAAUAUUCAAUGAGCUAAAACCAACAUAGCAAAGAAGCUCAACCAGACUGCAAACCUAGAAAAUCUGAAAGGCCGUGAAUUGGAAAUGAGAGACUUGCUCCAAGGAUUGGAAGAACAUAGAAAAUUGCAAUGCUUAACUGAGCAGAACAUGCUUCUGUAAUUUGAUUCUGUUCGAACUAGUCAAAACACAUUUAUAACUUUCACAAUGCAAUGUUAGGAAGGUAAAGAACCCAUGCAUGCACACGAGCUAUAUGCUCGAUGCAUUGGAAACAUUUGGUGGACCGGUGAACCUGCUUGUUUGUCAUGAUUCUGAUCCAGCAGUUGAACACGCAUCAAUGUAUAUAUCUUAGGUGACAGGGUCGAGGUACAUUGGAGAACGAGCAAAAGGUACCAUAACUUCGUAUAAAACUUGCCUGUUUGUCCAGCAAAGUGUUGGAAGAUAUGCAGAAUCACGGAUUGCACAAUCAAGGAUCCGGAUUGAUUAUUGAUUUGAUUUGAAGAUUAGAAUUAUGUACAUAAUCAAUUAAGAUUAGAUCUAGCUAUAGAUUGAUUUGUAGAAUCAUUUAUUCCCUUUAUUUUUCAUACAGCUUGUAUUAUAUUUACAACAAGAAUUGUACAGAUUCAUCAUUGAAGUAAAUAGAAAGAAAACUGUUCCUUCUUCUUUCAUGGUAUCAGAGCAGCCGAUUCUCUGAACCUAGCUUCCGCUUCCGCUCAGAAUUUUCUCUCCUUGCUGUGACUUUCUGAUCCUGAAGUUCUGACCUGCAAAAAAGGGUUUCUUUUUCAGGCAUAUUGUCACGCUCAGAAAAUUUUACUCACCAUGGCGAAUUUGCAAGAUGAAGUAUCCACCACCAGGAACCAAUCUGCUGGUUAAGUUAUUCCAGCCGCUGGAAGCACUGCUCAGACAUCGAUUUCACCUGUUACAACUCAAACAACAACGCAAAUGUUGUUUCCAACUCAGCCCGUGCAAUGGCGGCCCACCCCGGCUCAGUUCACUAUGGGGCAGCCCAUGACGGGCCAGCCUUUCCAAUGGAUUCCAUAUCCAAUCUAUGUUGGGUCAAACCCAAACUCUUCAUUGCUUGGGUAUGUGGGCCACCAAAGCCACGUCCAAACCGACGGGGGUCCGCCAGCCACAGAAGGGGCAAACCCGACCGACGGAGUGGAGCGGAUACACAGGUCGAGUGAACCGGGUACGGGUAUGAAUCCCUACCCGGGAUUUUUGAAUGCGGAUUUUUCAUUCGGGUCGAAUGAAUCGGGCCAAGGGACGAAUCCCUACCCGAAUCAUACGCCCGGGUUUCUGCCCUUUCCAGCGGCGGCCUUCGCCAGACGGCCAGAACUCAGCGACCCCUUGUUCGUUUCCACAGCCGACGGACCAGAGCUGCGACUAAUCAGUCAACAACUGACCGGGCCAGAGACUUACCCCAAGUGGUCGCAAGAGUUCCGACGUGCCCUAGCGACAAAGGACAAGGAUGGAUUUCUCGAUGGAACCAUCCCAAUCCCUACCGACGAGCGUCUAGCACGGCUCUGGAGGAAGAGCAACCGCCUGGUCCGAACUUGGAUCGGCAAUUGUCUCUCCACAGAGGUCUCGGCUGGACUCCCACCGACUGAAGACGCCAAAGGGAUGUGGGAUAAUAUCAAGGAGAUGUACGGGAGGUUGGAUCAAGCAAAAAUAUUCACCCUCAUGCAAGAACUCAGUGAUUUAAAACAAGGGAAUUCGACGGUCACAGCUUGCUUCAACAAAUUAUCAUCGUUAUGGAACAGCCUCGAAGCAGCAGAAGAAAAACUCGAGGGUCCCGAAUCCACACUCCGACAGUACAAAUCCAUCAAAGACAGGGAGAAAGCGACGCGUUUUUUGCUCAUUUUAAACGACAACUUUCUUACCUUUCGCUCGUAGAUCUUGGCUAUGGAUCCCAUGCCAUCAAUCGGGCGAAUUUAUCAACUAGCGGUGCAAGAGGAAAGCCAGCAAUUCGCAUCACCAAAGAACGCGAAGAGUGGCGAGAGUAUCGCUCUUGCAGUCCACAAGGAGCGAAAAGAUGGAACCCAGAAAACCCUAGCAGAGAAGAGACGUGGCGUGCUAGGGUUUCGCGGAGAAGGGUUGCGGGCCUAUAAAUCAGAAGGGAUGAACGGCUCUGAUCGAGCGCGUAUAUCCGACGGCUCACAGGAGACCGAUCAUUUAAAAGGAUCGGACGGCCCAGAUGAACUCGCGACAAAAGGAACCGACGGACAGAUUUUUGCCACAUCAUCCAGGAAUUUCGGGCAAAAUUUUAAAGGGAAAGGUAGAUUAUUUUGUGACUAUUGCAAGCGUUCUAAUCACUCAAUUGACAGUUGUUGGAAGCUGCACGGGAAACCAGCGGAAAAAGGAAAAAGAAUUUCAGCGGCAUACCAAUUGAGUGGAUCUCCCGGCCCAAAUUCUGAUCAUACCAUUACCUAUGGACAGUACCAGCAACUGAUGCAAGCUUUGCAGAAAUUGGAUGUUUCUGACAAAGGAGGCAGUUUUUCAAGUAUCACGCAUGGCUUGAUUAAUUCUAUAUCAAGAAAAGCAUGGAUUAUUGACUCAGGGGCAACUGAUCAUAUUAUAUGUGACAAGAGUCUUUUCUCAAGAAUAGAUGAGGAAUUGAAUUUUCCCAUUUCCGUACAAUUGCCUAAUGGGAAUAUUAGUCAUAUUCGUGUGACAAGAACGGUUAAUCUCAGUCCUCAAAUUAUUCUUAAAAAUGUCCUUUAUGUCCCAGAAUUCCAGUUCAAUCUCAUUUCCGUAUCAAAAGUCUGCCAAGAGAAUUCAUGUCGAGUGAUAUUCAAUGCUGAUACCUGUUUAUUUCAGGCCCUUUCAACUGGCAGACUGAUGGGCUGGGGUAAUAUUUCAGAAGGACUAUUUUUUUGGUCAAGACUCCCAAGUAAUUUUGAUUUAUCCAGCUUUCCAUUAAAUAAAUCCUCCUUGUGUAAUUUGAGCUUGAAUGAUAAAAGUUCUCUUAUGCAUAUGAGAUUAGGCCACAGUGCCACCUUUCCUUAUCCUAAAUGUCCUAUUUGUCCACUAGCAAAACAGUCUCGUUCCCCUUUUCCAUCUAGUAAUUCUCGUGCUAGACAAAUCUUUUCACUGAUACAUGUUGAUAUAUGGGGACCUUAUCAUAAGGUUAAUUAUGAUGGAUCACGUUAUUUCCUCACAAUAGUAGACGAUCAUUCUCGUGCGACAUGGAUUUUCUUGAUGCAAUCAAAGGCUCAGACUUACUCUUAUUUAAAGACAUUUAUUGCCUUAUCCAAAAAUCAGUUUGGAAAAUCAAUCCAGAGAAUUCGAACUGAUAAUGGAGCGGAAUUUUUCAGUCACAAUUGUUCCAUGCUUUUCUCAUCUCAUGGCAUCCAGCAUGAGAGUUCAUGCACUUAUACACCACAACAAAAUGGAGUGGUUGAGCGCAAGCAUCGGCACCUUUUGGAAGUCGCACGUGCCUUGAAGUUUCAAGCUUCAGUACCAGAUGAUUAUUGGGGAAAUUGUGUCAUCACAGCAGCUUAUUUGAUCAAUCAUAUGCCCACCAAGAUACUGGACAAACACCAUUCGAGCUACUCUAUGGAAGAAAACCAGAUUUACAACAUCUCAAAAUCUUCGGAUGUCUUUGCUAUGCUACAACAUUGGGCUCUCGAGACAAGUUGAGCCCACGUGCUCGGAAAUGCAUUUUCAUGGGAUAUCCUAAUCUGCAGAAGGGGUAUCGAGUUCUUGAUAUAUCAACAAAGGAGUUUCUUAUAAGCCGUGAUGUAUCUUUCCAUGAAGAUAUAUUCCCCUUUUCCAACAUGGGGGAACCAAAUGAGAAUCUCGACAUCAAUUCUAAUUCUCAUCGUCUCUCACAUGACGACGCAAUAUCUCCAGACCAUGGUUACAUACCACUGGUUCAAUCAAGGAAUCCAUCUUACACUCCUACAAUAAUUCCAGGAGAGAUACCAUCUAUACUGGAGAAUCCAUCAUCAUCAGCAAACCUGACAGAAGAGGAAGUUGAAGAUGCAAGCAAUAUUGCGGAAGAAGUUGGCCAUGAUAUCUCGCCACCCACCUCCAAUGAAACAAUUCCCACUUCUGAUGGAGAUCAUCCAAGACGCUCUCGUCGGGCCACUCGACCUCCGACGUGGACCAAGGACUAUAUCUGUGCCACUCACAACUCUCCAGGUAUUCAAUAUCCUGUCUCCUCCUAUGUUUCCUUUCAUAGAUUAUCAGAGGAACAUAGAUGCUGCAUUAGUCGCCUAUCAGAAGAACAGGAACCAUCUAGUUAUGAUAAGGUAGCUGUUGAUCCUAGAUGGUAGCAAGCCAUGGCAGCAGAGUUAAAGGCAUUGAAUGACAACCACACAUGGGAUCUUGUCUCAUUGCCACCUAAUCGGAAACCAAUUGGGUGCAAAUGGGUAUACAAGAUUAAAUAUCGUGCAGAUGGAUCAAUUGAACGGUACAAGGCACGCUUGGUAGCAAAGGGAUUUACUCAGCGAGAAGGUUUUGACUACCACGAGACCUUUUCCCCAGUUGCCAAAGAUGUCACAGUUCGCUCUUUUUUUACCAUCGCCGCCAUCAAUGAUUGGAGUCUGCAUCAAAUGGACGUGCAUAAUGCCUUUCUCCAUGGUGAUUUAGAUGAAGAGAUAUAUAUGGAUGUUCCUCUGGGUUUACGGAGACAGGGGGAGAAUAGAGUGUGUCGUCUCCGCAAAUCCCUUUAUGGGUUGAAGCAAGCAUCCAGACAAUGGUAUGCAAAAUUUGCAAAUGCUCUUACGAAAGCUGGGUUCCAACAAUCAAAGCAUGACUAUGCAUUGUUCACAAGGAACAGAGGUAUGUCAUCUAUCUUUUUGAUGAUAUAUGUCGAUGAUAUUCUUCUUAUGGGAAAUGAUAAGGCUGCCAUAGAAAGAUUCAAGGAAUAUUUGCAUGCUACCUUUCAUAUGAAGGACUUAGGAGCACCUAAAUAUUUCCUUGGAAUCGAAAUUGCUCGAUCCGAUUUAGGAAUCUCCCUCAGUCAACGAAAGUUCAUAUUGGAGAUUAUAUCAGAAGCAGGGCUAUCAGGAUGUAAACCAGCAGCAAUUCCCAUCGAGCAGAACACUAAAUUGACUUCUGCAGCUUACGAUGAAGGUAUAUCCAAAGAUGACGAUCCCAUACUCAAAGAUCCAUCUGGAUAUCAAAGGCUUGUUGGGAAACUUAUAUAUCUGACAAUGACGAGGCCGGACAUCUCUUAUGCAGUACAAACAUUGAGCCAGUUCAUGCAUAGCCCAAAACAGUCUCAUUUCGAUGCAGCUUUGAAGAUUGUAAAAUAUUUAAAGAAAUGUCCAGGACUUGGGAUACUUCUGUCAAAGAAAUGUGACAUGAAGAUGACGGCAUUUUGUGAUGCAGACUAUGCAACAUGUCCUAUAAGUCGAAGAUCAGUCACAGGAUAUUGCAUUAAAUUUGGGGAAUCACUUCUUUCAUGGAAGACCAAGAAGCAACCCACUGUGUCUUUAUCCUCAGCUGAGGCAGAGUAUCGAGCUAUGGCUAAGACCACAUGUCAAAUAGUGUGGAUGUGAGGUUUACUUAAGGAUCUUGGGAUAGAAGUGCAAGGACCAACCAGGCUUUAUUGUGAUAACGAUGCAGCCCUAAAACUUGCAGCAAAUCCUAUAGUACAUGAGAGAACCAAGCACAUUGAAGUCGACUGUCACUUCACUCGAGAAAAGAUACAAGAAGGCGUGAUUGAGACAAGAGGAAUUGGAACAAUGGAGCAGCCAGCAGAUAUAUUUACCAAGCCUCUAUGUCAAAGACAGCACGCAUAUCUGUUGAGCAAGCUAGGUGUCUUAGACAUAUACAGAUCACCAGCUUGAGGGGGAGUGUUGGAAGAUAUGCAGAAUCACGGAUUGCACAAUCAAGGAUCCGGAUUGAUUAUUGAUUUGAUUUGAAGAUUAGAAUUAUGUACAUAAUCAAUUAAGAUUAGAUCUAGCUAUAGAUUGAUUUGUAGAAUCAUUUAUUCCCUUUAUUUUUCAUACAGCUUGUAUUAUAUUUACAACAAGAAUUGUACAGAUUCAUCAUUGAAGUGAAUAGAAAGAAAACUGUUCCUUCUUCUUUCACAAAGGCCCAUUUAUGUUCGCUACUCUAUGACGCUGCAUGUUCAAAGCAAGCGCAAGCAUCAGAACGCUGAACAAACGCUCUGUUUGUCCAGCAAAGGCCGAGUAGAAACUUCUACACCAAACCACUCACUUCCUUGCACUAUCUCAUUCCAAAACACAUCACCAAAACUCCCAUGGGCAUAUCAUUUCACCAAUUUCCCAGCAAAGCAGCCGACGCGUAAACCCUAGAAAACUCAAUCGCAACAGGAAACACCAUUUCCGUGACACUGCAUGAUCAAAGCGACCGCGUGACCGAGCAUCAGAGUGCUGGACAACGCUCUGUUUGUCUAGCAAAGGCCGAGUAGAAACUUCUACUCCAAACCACAUAUCGUCUCCCUGAGUUACUGGCAAAGCAACCGACGCGUGAAUCCUUGAGACCUCAAUCGCAACCAGAAAGGCCAUUUUCCGUUCGCUAAAUCCGUGACGCUGCAUGUUCAAAGCAAGCGCGCGAUCAAGCAUCAAGAUGCCGAACAAACACUCUGUUUGUCUACUACACCGAACCGAUUGCUUCGUUGCACGAUCUCAUUAAAAAAAAAAAAAAGGAAGAAGAAGAACGUAAUCGUCUCUCGAAACGAUGAACUCGCGAGGAAGAUGACGACGGAGUCGACCCGUCGAAGAGAUGAUAAAAGGAAAGGAAAAGGCGCGAGAGCGACGUGAGAGCUGACCUUCGACGGCUCCUUCACGUAGAGAUAGGCGGCGAAGGAAGCCAGCAGGAUCAGCACCGGCAGGAUCCGCCAUUGCAGAUGCUUCAUUCCUCCCUCCCUCUCUCUCUAGAAUCUCGAUGACGCAGAAAGGAGAGAGAGCGCUUCGCAGAAAUUUGCGCUCCCUCACGAGUCGCGAAGCGCCUUCAGAGUCAGCUCCCUCUUGUCGUUUUUUCUUCCCUCUCUCCUUAAUAUUUUGAUUUUUCGGUGUAAAGAUUAUUUACUUACCGACCAAUGGAACUCUGACACGUGUAGGAUUCCUCGAAGCAAUUUAAUAAAAGUUUUUUUAAUUGAUAAGGGGGAAAGAAUAUUUGUUUUUCUUGGCACGACCAAACACUUCGAUUUUUCCAGCGAUGUCUUUAGUGGAGCGUGCGUGCAUGCGUGUAAGCCCACUUGUCUCCCAUUGGCGAAAUUUUUGUUAUGUACACGAUAUCAUUUUAUAUUAUAACUAAUGCGAUGUUAUGUAUUUUUCUAUGUUCAAUUCCAUUUUAAUCUGGAAAAUGUCAAGUGUUAAUCGACAUUAAAUUAUUAACCAAGGCUUUUUUGUGGAGUAGUUUAUGACAUAGGUGGAAAACGAGUAUUAUAAAUGUAGGUAGAUAUCGAUGGCUGGGCAUGACGAACGAAUGAAUAAAAUCUAAUUUUGGCUAGAGAAAGUUCGAGAUGCUCUAAUGGCUUUGGUUUUCAAUAUAUAAUACAAAUAGAAAUAUAAUUUAAUAGGUCGAAAUUCAUAAUUGAUUCCUCAAAUCUAUGCACCAAAACGAACCCUUGCUAAGUUCUAUAAUAGCUAGAUUGGUCUAACAACAAAAAGUAGUUUUUAUAUUUUGUUUUCAGAUUAAUGUCUCGAGUGAUGAUAAUAUGACAAUUUAAAUUUGGAGACAAUAUUAAGUAUUUUAAUAUAAUUCAUAGACUAAAUUGAACAUAUAUUAAAAAUCUAGGGACCUCGUUGUACAUUAAAUUAGAAUUUAGGGACCAUAUGAAAUAAAUUUAAAGUUAAUGGAUGAAUUAUGCAAUUUUAUCUAACAAAGGUAGUUUUGAAGAGGGGAGUACAGGGAUUUUAACCGCAGCGGUUUUCUUCAUCCGUGAAAACCGUCUGGAGCGUCGGUUAUCGUAGAUAUUGCCUUCCAUCACGGCGUCUCAAGUUAACCGCAGCGGUUUUCUUCUUCGGAGGCGCCGUUUUUUAGAGAGAGAAACGGAUACCAUACGCAGAGUCAAAAAUCAAUCCGUUUCUCCCCUGGCCGAGAAGUCUGAUUGAUCCCGGUCUCCAUUGAAGCUUCGCCACCCGGCCCAUAACUUCGUCGGCGACGAGUUUCCGUGGCUGUCUCGGGUUUCGCUUGAUCAUCAAUCGUGAUUAGAACUCCGUUUCAUUGAGGCGUUUCUUGGUCAUCGGCAGUGCUGGUCUGUCUGUGAGAAGUGGCUCGGAGUUUGUGUAACGCUUCGACAAUGAUGACCGGGGAGGUGAGCUUUUCUCAAUCUUUUUCUCCUUUUAUAUUUUCAUCGUGCUGUUCAUGUGUUGAAUUAUUAUCUGUGAUGCUGUGUGUUCCAAGAUCAAACGAUCGGUGGCGGUCGAUGGCGGUGUUGUAGUAAUGGAUGGUGUUCGGAGGCGACGUCCAUGGCAGCAAUGGCCAGAAGUAGUGAAUAGCGGUGCAUUCCAAGCUCUGUUGCUCCUCUCGUCACAUUCAGCGGACGCCGCAGCGGCGGAAUCCACGGCGUGUUUUUUUCUUUUUUCUGGUAAGAUUUGAAUUGUGUGUUUUAAAUGAUCUCUUAUGUGGGGUCAAAGAAUGGCAGGAGAAAUGGCUUUCCUCAUUUUUUUGGUAAGAUUUGAACUGUGUUUUUUUUCUUUUUUCUGCUCUAACAUGGAACAACCACGAGUACCUGCCGCCAGUCAUCUGCUUGUUGCGGUAGAAUGAGGUUUGGCUAUCAUUUGGGAAUAUCAGUGCUGCGUAAAACGUGCCCUUUAUCACAGAUUUUCUGUGUCAAUUACUCCAUCUACUAGUUUAAAGUAUGAACUUCUAUAUCUCUUUGGCUUGUCACAGGUACAUAUCAACAGUUGGGUUUUACUCGCUUAAGAUGCACUUCCUUGUUAGAAGGAAAAAAUGACCAAAGGUUACGUAACAAGGAAGCUGUUGGGCAUGACUAUAAAAGGUUUUCUUUUAAAAAUUGAAAUGGCCACUUUAGUAAUCUUUAUUUAGUAUGGAGAAUCUCAGUCACGAUUAUAAUCAAAUAGUUAGAGUUGUCGCCAAUAAAGAAAUGUUGCCAGCCUUGAGUUGCUACAUCAGUCCAACAUGGUGCUUGCAAUAACUAUACCUUUUUUGUGUCAUCAUCAUUGGUCAGCCUUGUCAUUGGUCAGCCUUGCCUUCAUGAAUCUUUGUUGCUCAUUGAGAUUAGUCCGGAAAUUGUUACUUCAACCGAGCUCAACAAGGAGUUGGAAUCUCUAUUGCCCAUUGAGAUUUGGUGUACUUAUUUUAGCGUGGAAAUUUGGCAGUCACAAUGCAUGACAAGAGAGGACAAUCAAAUAAAACUUCAUAGUUCUGACUAAACUUAUGCAUUAUAUUGAUUUAUCAAUUUCAAACCUUGAGAACCUAGCUAGGGAAAAAGGGGCAAAUUAUGAAGGGUAAAAUAUGUUGCUUUUCCUAGCCUUUCUUGUGGAAAAACCAUAUUCGUGGCAAUGGAGACUGAAUUGUGAUCUCUGAUUUGACUGAACAAUAUAAUUUGAUAGCUAGUUUUAGACUCUAAAAGUCCUCAUUACUUAUUCUUGCUGAACGCUUGGAUGUAGGUUGCUGGUUGGAUUUGAAUGAAAAAUCUCUUGUUGUAGUUUUAGAGGCUAGUCGUAUUGCUUUUUAAAUGGAUCAGAGUCAAUACUCCAUGUUCAUUGGCAGAACUCACCAAGUUUUGGAUUGGUGCUCCUAUCUACAAAAUGGUUUUGUGUCAUCUAUUAAAAAAUUGUAGACUCUUUCAAUAGAACAGUUGAUAGAACAAAUCUAGUAAGGAAAAUGUAGGGGAAGUUGUGUUUCCCAUUAUGAGCUAGUGUCUAGUUUAGUGAGUGUGGGCAAUAACUGCUCUAGCAUUGUAUUUAGUUUGUAUGCUUCGGAUCAAUUAACUUUAGAAACCUAAGGUUCUCAUUUUUUGGAACAUGAGAUGCAUCUGUGCUGAAAUUUCAUUUGGUAUAUUUACGUGGCCAUGUUCAUCUCCUCGUUCCCGUCCCAUGGCUCUACUCAAACUGAGAGGCUUACAGGGAGAGUUUAGAUAGAGAAGGCGAGUGUUGAUGGAGUCAACCAUAUCAAAGACUCUCUAUCCUCAUCUUCGUCCUCCCUCAACCCCUUCGUCUUCCGCCUCUACCGCUACAUCACCCGAUCGCUGCAUCGCUGAUGCGAGUGGGUGUCUGGCACCUAUGAUUGCAUCACCUUCGGCAUAACCCCUAGAGGAUUGAGUGAAGCUUGAUAUGAGUUUGUGCCAGCAAAGUGACUAUAANNNNNNNNNNNNNNNNNNNNNNNNNNNNNNNNNNNNNNNNNNNNNNNNNNNNNNNNNNNNNNNNNNNNNNNNNNNNNNNNNNNNNNNNNNNNNNNNNNNNCAGCGAGCGUGAAAGAGAAUUUGAGAAAAUCAAUUGAGUUUGCCAUUGCUUUUGUUUUGCUAUUAUACUCUCUAAGGUACCUGGGAUCAUCCAUUUUUCAUAAUAAAAAAAAUGGUCAUCAACUUAAAUUAAACUUAGUGUGACGGAACAGUCAUCCCCCGUGUUACGCAUUUUGUCCUCUCGUAAAUGUGAAGAGAAAUAAGGUUCUAAAUGAUCUCUUAUGUUGGGUGAAAGAAUGGCAGGAGAAAUGACUUUCCUCUUCUUCUUUUUUUCCCGGUAAGAUUUGAACCCUGCGUGUUUUUUUCUACUUUCUGCUCUAACAUUGAACAGUCACAAAUACCUGCCGCCAGUGUCAAUCUUACAGCCGAGACAGCAGUUAUAUGGCCUCUAUUUGAAGCCGAGGCUGUACAUAAUUAGCAAAAAGAGUUGGGAGAAACAGUUGCAAAACACUUGACAAAUUGUGGCUUUAUAUCUAACCCUCGAGGUAAGCAAUUUUUAUUCACUAUAUGCUUGUUGCAGGAGAAUGAGGUUUGGCUGUCAUUUGGGAAUAUCAUUGCUGCAUAUAACGUUCUUUUUAUCACAGAUUUUCUAUGUCGAUUACUCCAUCUAUUAGGUUGAAGAAUGAGCUUUUAUAUCUCUUUGGCCUAUCACAGAUACAUAUCAAGAGUUGGGUUUUACUCGCUUAAGAUGCACUUCCUUGUUAGAAGAAAAAAAAGGCCAAAGGUUAUGUAACAAGGAAAUCUGUUGGGCACGACUACAAAAGGUUUUCGUUUGAAAUAUUGAACUGGCAGGAAUCUUUCUUGAGUAUGGAGAAUCUCAGUCACGUUUGUAAUCAAACAGUUAGAGUUGUCGCCAGUAUAGAAAUGUUGCCAGCCCUUGAGUUGCUACAUUAGUCCAACAUGGUGGUUGCAAUAACUAUACUCUUUUUUUUUUUUUAUGUCAUUGUCAUUGGUCACCCUUGACUUCAUGAAUCUUUGCUGCUCAUUGAGAGUAGUCCAGAAAUUCUUACCUCAACCGAUCUCAGCAUGGAGUUGAAAUCUCUGUUGCUCAUUGAGAUUUUGGGGUUUAACAAGCCACACAAUGUGGAAAUACCGUACUUAUUUUAGUGUUGAAAUUUGGCAGUCAUAAUGCAUGACAGGAGAGGACAACCAAAUAAAACUUCAUAGUUCUGACUAAACUUAUGCGGCAUAUUGACUUGUGGUUUGAAACCCUGAGAACCUAGCUAGGGAAAAAGGGGCAAACUAUGAAGGAUAAAACAUGUUGCUUUUGGUAGCUUUUCUUGUGGAAAAACCAUAUUUGUGGCAAUGGAGACUGAAUUGUGGUUCCUGAUUUGACUGAAACAAUUUAAUUUGAUAAGUAGUUUUAGACUCUAAGAAUCCUCAUUUCUUAUUCUUUCCAAAUGCUUAGGUUCAGAUUGAUGGUUGGAUUCGAAUGAAAAAUCUCUUAUUGUACUUUUAGGGGCUAGUCAUAUUGCUUUUAGAAUGGAUCAGAGUCGAUAUUGGCUGAACUUGCCAAGUUUGGAAUGUUGCUCUUAUCUACAAAAUGCUUUUGUGUCAUCAAUUAAAAAAUUGUAGACUCUUUUAAUAGAACAGUUGAUAGAACACAUCUAGUGAAAAAAAGGGUCAAUUAACUCUAGAAACCUAAGGUUCUCAUUUUUUUGGAACAUGAGAUGCAUCUUUGCGAAAUUUGAUUUGGUAUAGUUUUUAUCCUUGAUAUGAGUAUGUGGUGAUGAAAUAAGCAUAUUUAAUAUUACAUAGCGUAAUUGCAAAAACUAUCCUCAAUUUUGCUUUUCAUAUCAAAUACCCUCCUCACAUUUCAAAAUCUAUAUAGUGCAUCUCCCAACCUAAAUUAACUAUUUGCCCUUAUGCGCGCAUGAGAUCUACACCUAGAAAGUGGAAUGCAACAUUGAGGAUGGGGUAAUUUGAGAAAUAUGUGUGGGUGCGAGAUGCAACCUGAAAUCCACAACCAAAAAAAUAAAAUAAAAUGGAGAGUGAUGAUUGGAUGUCUGAAAUAUGAGAAUAGCGCGUUUGAUAUGAGUAGCAAAGUCUAGGAUGAUAUCUGUAAUUUUCCAUGUCAUAUAAUACAAACUAACUCCAGGAUGAAUAUUUCUAAAGCAGGUGGUGGUUGAAAAGUUCUCUGCCUCGAGGUUCAGGUAGUGACCAACAUGGUGAUUGCAGUCGUGACUGUGGUCGUGAUCGUGGCCCUAAUCAGGCCUGUGGUGGUGGAUGUGGAGGUGGAGAUGGAGAGUGCUUGCGGAAAGCCUGGGCAUUCUACAAGCGAGUGUCCUAGUGAAAGGGCAGAGGAGGUAGUUAUGCGGGGAGCAAUGACAGGUAUGGAGGUGGAGGUGGUGGACACUAUGGUCCUCAUCGAAAUGGUGGUUGACCUGGCGGGUGCAAUAGAGAUAGUGGUACUCAAGGAGGAUCAUGAAAUGACUGCUAUAAUUAGGACCGUUCUGGUCCCUAUGGAUGUCGUCGUACAGGAAACUUCUGUUCAGGGUAGAAAGAAUUCUCCUGAUAGGUAUGCACAGAGGUUUUUCCUAUUAUAGUGAAGUAGUUGAUCCUGUGCUGAUUGAAAAGUGCUUGCAACAGAGCAAUUGAAGAUACUGCUGUUACUUGCUGGAGGUGUCAAAGUCUCUUCUGUUUCAUCUCUUCUUCAUGGUUCUCCAGGUGGACAAAUCUGCUUGAUCCAACUGUUGAUGUGCGAUCUUUGGCUAAAAGAUUCAACUGUUUAAUGUCUGUGAAUGCUCGUUUUGAUGUUUUGGAUCCAAUGACAUUGCUUGCUUUACUUAAACAAUCAAAUUUGGCCUUACUAUUUCAAUGCUAUGAUGAAUACUGGAUUCUCUUUUGCUCACAUGCUUUAGCAAUUGCAAAUGCAUCUGAGAUCGAUCUUGGUUGACUUCAUCAUUGGCGUUUGUGACUAUGGAGUGUGGACAGCUUUUUGGUGUCUAGAUGGCUCUUUUGAGGAUUGGACGAGAUUCACCUAAGGAAGUAAUGCGUUUUCUCUUCACAAAAGAGAAGUUGCCUUAGAAAUGAAUGCCUGUUUUGGCUACGAUUUUUCAAAUGUUUAACUUUUUGAAAAGGAGUUAAGCGGGUAAACUCUAUGUUUUCUUCGACACAUUUAGUAUGUGAGCUUUCUGUCUAUAGUUUGCACUAUAUUAACUCUGCUAAACUUUUGGCAGGAUUCUAUGCUGUUUGUGGUGUUUUGAUGCGCAGUUCCGUUACUCUUAUAUCAUGAUACGUGGGUUUAGUCUUAAAAACUCUGGAAAGUCCUUUUGGUCUCAAGAAGCUGUUCUGUGCAAUUAACUCGGUAAAUUUCGUCUCACCUUCCACACAUUGUACUGAUGGAGGAGUUCCUUUCUCAGUAAAAUGUGGAGAUCUUUUGGAAGCUUUAGUGAGCAUGGCAAUUUGAUUUUCACGAUCUUCUUCCUAGCUAUCUGCUGUCUCUUAUUGCCAUCUUCAGUGGAGGAUUGCUGGUCUCUGUCUCACCCGUGUACAUGAUGCUGCUAUUGUCUUAGGUUUCCUGGAUAAAUUUCCCUUUCAGGUGUAAUGCGGCUCUUCCUAUGAAUCAGCUAUGUUGCUAAUAAACACACGGUUCUUUUCACUUCUGCAUUAAUGAUCUUUGCCAUGCUCUUGCAGCCAGUCAUUUGCAAUUGAUAAUGUGUCUUCCCUGAAUUCUUUCAGAAGUUGUGCUAGCUCCAUUUGAAAUUGAUAUUGGCUUUGUGACUCCUAGAUGUGGUAUAUUCUCGCCACAAGCAAAAAAAGCGGAUAUGAUCAUUUCCUUUUCAGCUCUCUCUGUGUAAUUACUUGGUUAAGGUUAUUGGGCAUUCUUAACUAUGGCUUUGUAAGUGAAUAUUUUCUUUUCCCGUUAUGCUUGUCAACAAAUUUGGAGGUUAAGGUUAUUGGGCAUUCUUAACUAUGGCUUUGUAAGUGAAUAUUUUCUUUUCCCAUUAUGCUUGUCAACAAAUUUGGAGAUCAAAUUGGCAAUACGUGCUCAGCAGGAAAGAGUUAUCUAUUCUUGUUUAAAAUUGAAAGGAAUUUUACCGAAGUACUGGUUAAUUCUCAAGUAGAGCUUAAUAGUACAUUGUAUCAAUUUUCUGUUAAUCUUUGCGACUUCCUUUAUAUACUUAUUUCUUUAAUGUCAGAGCUAGUCACAUACUUAAGUUAAUCCCUAUCUUAAAUAGAUUUUUCAUAAUUCCAAAAUCAUUUCAGAAUCCAAAAGAAAAGAAAGGAAGCUGAAACAGGAAACCAAAAGGACCACAAUCAAACAAUUCAAUGAUCUUAAUCAUCAAUAUACAAAGUACACUGGGAGGAGGCCGGGGGUUUGCAUCCAGAGCAUUGAAUUGGACGGUGAAGCUCUUGAAGGUUUGAGAAAAGACCACGCUGUGUGGAUGGCUGAAAUGCUUGUGUGACUUCAUCUCUGUAUUAGGCUGCGCGCGUGCUUAUGUGUGUGAAAGAGCGAAGGGAGGGAGGAAGGUUGGCUUUUGUCUUAACUAGGAACUGCUCGUGUAUGUAGGAAACAGCGAAGGUUCAAGAAUCAAUGUUUAAAAUAUGCGAUUGGCAUAAUAUAUUGUAUUAACUCUAUAUAACAACUUUUUUUAAGAAAUGUAAUCAUUUUUCUUCUUUUGCGCUUUAAGGGGAAGUACAUUGAACAUGGCUAUAUGCGAAAGAAGAAAGACUGAUGCAACCCAUUGAAUACAGCUUCCUACAUAAAUGAAGUCAUCUUGGAAAUCAUGCGGAUCUCCCCGUCUCUCUCUCUUCUUUCGAGUUCAUGCUUGUGGAUGUUAUUGGCAAAGUAGUGUGAUCUCAAUCUAGCCCCGUGAUUCAAACUUGUUUCACGAUAUGUCCUUAUUUGAAGGGUAAGUUCACUUUGUGACAUCCUGGAUUUUACAGUUCUGCUUUCAAUUAAAUCAAUUGGAUUUUUCAUCGAUGCGCCUAUAGUGUUAUUCUCAGAGUUGAUCACUCGUAAGAUAACUAGACUAUCUAGGGAAGUCAUUAAGGGAUUUUAAUGUAUUAGACUUAAGGAUUCAACCAGGACUUGACUACUCGAUCAUGCUCAUCUGCAAAGAUCAUUACGGCAUAGUUAAAAAUUGCUUAGAGAACAGAGAUAGGUCGGUCCAACUGAGAUGUGUGACUAAACAUGGGUAAUUCUACUAAAUUGCAAAAUUCUCGUCGAUCGGCACUAGACUGAUUUUUUUGUCUUUUUGGUACCAUGUGUCUGUAUUUGAAUCAUCGAGAUUUUCAUAAGAAUCGAGAGUCACCACUGUGUCGAAUAGGUUCAUUGUGGCUCGAAGAAAAUCGACCAUAGGUUAUUUGCACUAAAAAUUUCUGAAAGCUACUCGGUAGCCUAGGUCACGCUAAAAACACGCCAAAGUGAAAUUAACCAUGAAUUUGAAUCCAAUUUCAGAAAUUGAAAAUUCUGUCAUGUCACAAGUCAUUUUAGGAACGUCGACUCAGUCUCCGAAGAUUUUUUUGCAAACCGAGACUUUUUGGGAAAAAGUCGUCGUAGGGCCAUUUUUAUUUAGAAAAGUCCGAGGGCCGUUUUUGAUUGGGAAAUUGGGAUGCAAGAUGGUUCAAUUGGUGAGGAAAAAUAUCAAUUUGAUUAUUGACCCGAUAACGAAAUUUUUAGAGGCCGAAUUGAAUUGAUUCAAUGAGGAUUCGGGGUCAAAUUGGAAGGAAAACCUUGCAAAUUCGUGUGCCCCCAUGACCCAUGACUUUUGGACCCUUUCCUUGGCUUCUUGUGGAAGAUUGUGGGUUGAAGUUUGCAGAGGAAGCCAACUGUGGGGUGAGGGACUGAUCAAGGGGACAAAAGAAGUGUAGAGACCAAGCUUGUUCCCCCCUUGUACCCUCUUUCCCUCUCUCUCCCGUCAACUGCUUCCGCCUCCUUUCUUCUUUCUGUUCAACGCCCAAAAACUGCAGAGAAGAACCAACUCAGCCUUCUCACCAUCGCAGCCAAUCGCCGGACCACCGUUCACUCCACCGCUUCGCUACUCGCUGUUCGGCGUGCUCGCCAACCCGUCGCAACCUCAUCGCCGUCUAGUCGCGUCGUCUCCGCCUGUCCUCGCCUUCAGCAAGCUGCCAAGGACGCCUGAGCCACCGUCAAAGCCCAUCAAAGCUCCCAUCACCACCGCCUAGACCCGGUUUGGUCCCCUCUACCCAUCUCAGCUCGUUGUCGCCUCAACCAGCCCCCGUUCUGCCUUCUCUCAGCCUAGACCAAAUCAGAACCCAGUGGGUUUUCAGCCAAGGUUUUGGCCCGCUUUGGCCAUUUCCAAACCCCGAAAGGCAAGCCCACUUUAGAGAAGAUCGAGCCUCGCCUCGUCCCCAUCGAUUUGAUCCAAGCGGAUCAAUUAACAAGUGAGUUUAACUCACUAAUUUUCGCUUAGUAGGUUAAUGAUAUUUAAGGGUUGAUUAGUUUAGGUUAAGCAUGGAUUAGGUGGUUAGUUAGUUUAGAUUAGCGGUUUAAAUAUCCGUUAAUCAUGUUAGGUGGUUAGAGUAGUGUAGUUAGAGCCUAGACAAGCUCUAGUAUUUAUCUAGAGUAGUUCGGAAAUUUUCCAGGCUUGUCUCGGCUUCCAAUUAGGCUUUUUCAGGCCUAAGUUGCAUUUUUGGCAUUUAUUUAUUAUUUUCCGUAAUUAUUUAAUUAUUUAUUUAUUUUCCAUAAAUUAGACUGAGAUAGCCGGUGACCGGAAUUUCGUGCUGAUUGCAGUAGUGUGAUCUAUUUAUUUAAUUGAGUUCUAAUUUAUGCUGAUUGAGGGUGAUUUGUGGUUGGGGGUAUUUAUCCCAAAAUUAAUUAAUUUCAGUAAUUAAUUAGAAAAUCACCGGGCAUUAGUUUACAGCGCCAAAAAGGAUUUAUGGGCUGUUGAAACUAGUUGGAUUAUUAAAAGUGAAAAUAUUAUAUUUUGGUUAAGGUCGACCGUAUACCCACAUACGAGUAUUUUUAUCGUGUAUGAUAAAAAUGGCGAAAUGGUUAAAUGAUCGGGAUGAUAUGUUAUAUCAACCUGCAGACUACAAUCUGGCACCUUCUAGUGAGCAUAAAUAGCAUAUUAUAUGAGUAUUUGCGGCAGCUUUUGGUGAGCAUAAAUAGUAUAUUAUAUGAGUAUUUGCGGCAGCUUCUGGUGAGCAUAAAUAGUACAUUAUAUGAGUAUUUGCGGCAGUUUCUGGUGAGCUAUACUAUCUGUAUAUCAGCUUAAAAUGAGCAAUCCUGAGUAUGAUCGGAUUUAUAGAUAGUAUUGAUUGAGAAGACCGGGGAAGGGUCUUGAUGAUAUGUAAUCGACUAAGUCGAUUAAUCCAUGAUUCGAUCUGGCUGGAUAAAUUAAUUGUGAAGUGAUUGGUUGUGAUAUGAACUAUACUGACUUGCAGGAAGAAUCUAAGGUAAAGCUAAGUCUUCUGACUCUUGUUUGUACUUAGGCAGCCUUAGAGCAUAUUUUCUUCUUAAUCGGGUCUUAAGGGUAAAACUCGCUGAGACGUCGUCUCACCCUAUUGUGGGAUAACAUUUCAAGUCCUUAGAUAGCAGCUCCUCCAAAGCAUUUUGGACAACCAAGGAAGAUCACAAAACAAAAGUACGACAUUCCGAUCCAUGGGCAUCCCGAGGGGCUGCAGUAUGAACUGGUGAAGUCUAUAAUUUGGGUUAAUGUGGGUCUACCCAAAAAGGUGCCCCAUCAAUACAGGGCAUGGUAUCGCCUAUAUCGUAAUUGGCAAAGAGAGAGCCCCGUGCAGAAAUGUGAGAUAUCUGUGUAUGUGAUGAAAGUUGCUUUUGAAAAGGGUACGGUAGACCUUAAGGGUGGUUCGGUGGUGGACCUGGUGGACCCUAAGCUUGAAGAUGCAAAUUCUCCAAUGUAUUCUGUUGUAGGCUCCAAAUGGAGUGUGAAAGAAGGAGAAAUCGUGGAUGAUGACUCGUAGUUGAUUGGAAACCCUACCCCUAUUUGCAGACCCUGUUUUCUGACCGAUGUUGUGUAGGACUUGACUCCUGUAGUUUGUUGUAUACAUAUGACUUAGUUUGUUGUAUAUGUAUAUAAGAGUGGUUGUUGUUUUAGUUCGAAAAUUUUGGCCCUACUUUUCUAUACCAUUGUGUGAUUGUCUAGGGAAUAUUAAUUGCUUCCGCAUGUGCAUUAAAAUGAAUGGGUUGGCGAUGCAUCUUGGAACGUUGCUAUCUAAUCGACCAAGCCGGGAUGGGCGCGCGCCCGAAGGGUCGAGGUGUGACACACUUGUCUCAUAUUCCCUAUUACUUCAUCAAAUGAUAAACUAUACUUUUAAUCCCUAAGUUUGAGCAUUCUUUUCCAUUCAAAUCCUCUAAGCUUUGAGUUUUGUCUAUGGCUUCAAUAUAUGAUUUCAUUCUUUGCUUCCAAUAGGCACAAUUGCUUCCAUCAAAGUAAGGUAGCUUGUUGGGAGCUUGAGUAUCAUUGGUAAAGAAGCCGCCAAGAUUAGCCAUGAUAAAGGAUCUUUGUAUUCAGAAGAAAUACACUUCAGAUAAAGAGUAAUAGAGCUCUGAUACCAAUUGUUGAGAUUAACAAUAUAACUUAGAGGGAGUGAAUAUGUUGUUUUCAAACUUUGAUGAUCUUUUGCGGAAAUUAGCUAAUAGCUAAGUAAAGAUCACCAUGACCUGAUAUUUAAUUAAACUCACACUAACGGUAUGCCAAUAAGAAUGAGAAGAUGAAAAAUAGCGGGACACAAAGAGUUAUAGUGGUUUGGCUUUAUUCUCAAGCCUGUGUCCACUCUUUAGAUUGAUAGCCUCAAAACGGGCUGGAUUCCACUAACAAUAUGCUUGGAAAGUUAUAACCGACUAGCAUUGAUCUUUUGUGUGAUAGAUCGCACUAUCUUGAUUCAAUUACUACUCUUACACUUGUACAUUUAAUCUGUAGCACAAUCGCUAAAUAGCACGACAAGCAAGACAGUAAAACAUAGAGAUUUAAUAUGAGAAUAAUAGUACGUAAGCUACUUGAUCUUUUAUGUGCUGCACUCUCUUGGUUCCUAAAGCCUUCUCUUUUAUAAUCUUUCUAAAACUAUUUGUUGAGGUUGAUUUAGAGAGAUAGGUCAUCGUUGAAGAGUUUCCAUUAAACUGCUGUCCAGAAAGAUACUACCCAUACAGUUCCGUUUCUAGGACUUCUGCAAAUUGACCAAAAAUGACAAUUGCUAUUGUCUUCUUACUGCAGUUUUUAACUCACUUAUUAGACACUCUAGCUACUCUACUACAUGCUUUAUUUCGAUUCUGCCGCUUUAAGAAUCCAAAUCUUACAAUGGCUCUUUAGCUAAUCCAACGAACAUCAACUGACGUAGUUGGUUAUUACAUCACCGUCAACCUGAUCUUUACUACUCUAAUAUAAAUAUCAUCAGUACCUUAUCUUUUUGGUUGACUAGUGUUGUUUGUAAUAAUAGGAGAAUCGCAAAAUUUUCCAAUUGGUCACACCAUGGAUGUUGCAUGGUCCUUUGGUCCAAACAUCUGCAAACAACAUAGUACGUAAUAUACUAAAGAUAGUUUGAGCAUAAUCAAAAUCUCUUGAAGAUGUUUUGUCCAAUAAAGACUACUUUCCUUUUUGUGGAUGGGGGCUAUCCAUUUAUUUUAAUACCUUUGAUAAAGAAAUAUUAAAAAUUUAUCAAAUUGUUCUUUCUUGGAUACAGCAUAUUUCACCCAAAAUGAAGCUCUUCUGAAUUCAAGGUCAUUAGAACCUGAGGAUUCGAAAUGUUUUUUUUUUUUUUGAGUGAUUUGAAAUUAGGCCAUGAAGGCCCUUUUUUUAAUACUUGUAUUUAUCAAUGUUGAAAUGAAAAUAAAAUAUGCUUCAUAAUAACUGAAUAUUGAAUACCAAAUAAUACCAGUUUGUUAACUAAGCAUGAGCACCUUUAAUAAGUUUUUUGCAAAAUAUUUAGCAAGAUUCUAUUGCCAAUGAGUAUCUUUUUCUAUUGAAUGAAUAAGUGGCCUUCCCUUCCUUGCCUAGCGAAUUAGUGUUUUUUCGACUUAAUUAAACCUUUUAAGCUUAUUUUUAUUAUGAUAACGGAAUUUGUUUAAUUUUAAUGAGUGCUAAAUAUUUAAGUUUUGAAGACUUAACCGAGUUAUCAAAUAGCCUACAAAUUUGGAAACUACUCACCUUAGAUUUACUCUUAGUAAACACCGUUUUAAUGUAUUGUAGCAUGGAUGUAAAUUUUGGUGAUUACACAUAAAAUUUAGAUGCAAACCAGUAAAUUAUUAAUCACCUCGACAAUGAAAUUCAAAUAUUAGAUAUUUUAUGUUGACUUUAGGAAAUUUAAAUAUGAGAUAGCAAUUUCUUUUACCAGCAAAGAAAGGUGGAAAUAGGCGAUCAACAUUUACCCUCUAAAUGUUAGGCAUUAGAUUUUAUCCAUGACUUUUCAAUGCAACGGUAAAUAUGCAAACGGGUGGAGGUUGGAUUUUUUUUUUCAUAACAUUGUUUGAUUGUGAUAAACUUGUUUAUAUUGAGCUACCACACUGGGUGAUAUACAAGAUAGUAUCUCAUGAAUAUGAAAAAUCUGAAUUAUGAAAUUUUUUCUCCCAUAUUUCAUACGAUGAAUACCAUAUAUAUAUUGGACAUUACCAAUCCGAGAUAAUUAUCGUGUAAUUUUUUUUUCAUUUUUUUUUCAUUUUUUUUCAUAAUUAAUGUUUUCGACGCCAUCAGUUUCUGACCAAUGUUCAUCUCCUCCCUCCCGUCCGGCGGCCCUGCUCAAACCGAGAGGCUUCCAGAGUUUAGAGAGAGAGAGAGAGAGGGAAGACGAGCUUCGAUGGAGUCAAGUCAACCAUAUCCAAGACUCUCUCUCUCUCUCUCUCUCUAUCCUCAUCUCCCUCCUCUCUCAACCCCUUCGUCUUCCGCCUCCAUCGCUACUUCUGCUCAUCACCGAUGCCUCCCCUCUUGGCUCCGCUGCAUAUAUGCCGACCGCAUCCGCUCCCCGAGCCUCGCUGAGCCGUCUCCGUCUCCCCCGGCUCCCGAGAGGUUCCGCUUGUGGGGCGUUUCGCUUCUCUCGGCGCCUUCAGCGGACGCGGCGGCGGCGGAGGAGGCGGAGUCGACGGUGAGGAUUGGAAGGUGAAAUCGGUGGUGGAUGGAGCCGAGGAAGCCUCAGGUGUCUCCUCUGAUGUGAUAAUUCUCGACGUCGGAGUAAGCCCCUCUCUCUACGUGAAUGUACGAGCUGAAGCUUCGAUUUUGUCGAUGCUUGUCCAACUUUCCCUGCAUUAUAAUGCUGAAGAUGUUAUUACGCGGUGCGUAUCAUGUUUCUUUUUCCAGUGUGCGGCCACUUGAGUGGCUCUGUUUCGUCUCUGCAGGGAAUGACUUGCGGGGGGUGUGCAGCGGGAAUGAAGAGAAUUUUGGAAAAUGAAGUGAGUUUGCCACUGCUUUUGUCUUUCUUGUAAGCCAUCUUUCAUAUGAAAAGAAUCGUCAUCGACUUGAAUUAAACCAAGUAUGAGAACUGUCAUUUUCUGAAUGUGAUUUGAACCCAGCGUGUUCUCUCUUUUUUUCUGCUCUAGCAUUGGACAGCCUCAAGUAUCUGCCGCCAGUGUCAAUCUUACAACUGGGACAUCUAUUGUGUGGCCUGUAUCUGAAGCCAAGGCUAUGCCUAAUUGGCAAAAAGAGUUGGGAGAAACACUAGCAAAACACUUGACAAAUUGUGGCUUUAAGUCUAACCCUUGAGGUAAGCGGUUUUAUUCACCAUCUGCUUGUUGCAGUUGAAUGGGGUGUGGCUGACAUUCGUGAAUAUCAUUGCCCCAUAUAAUGUACCUUUUAUCACAGAUUGUCUGUGUCGAAGACUCCAUCUGCUAGUUGGAAGUACGAGUUUUUAUAUCUGUAAUUUUCCCUGUCAUAUAAUACAAACUAACUCCGAGAAGAAUAUCUUUAAUGCAGGGGGUGGUUGACAAGUUCUCUGAACGCUCUCAUGGAUUUGGUUUUGUGACUUUUGAUGAGAAGCAAGCAAUGGAUGAGGCUAUUGAGGCUAUGAAUGGGAUGGACUUGGAUGGGAGAAAUAUCAUUGAGGAAAAAGCUCAGCCUCAAUGUUCAGGUGGAGACCAAGAUGUUGAUUGCAGUUGUAAACGUGGCCCUGAUGGGGAUAGUGGUACCCAAGGAGGAUCAGGAAAGGACUGCUAAAUCAGGACCAUUCUGGUCCCUAUGAACAUCGUGGUACCGGAAACUUCCAUUCAGGGUAGAAAGAAUAUUCCUGAUAGGUAUGUACACAAUUUUGUUUGCAGAUAUAUUAAAGCAGUUGAUGCUGUGCCGAUUGAAAAAUAUUUUGUGCUUGUAGCAGAGCAAUUGGAGGUACUGCUGUUACUUGCUGGAGCCAAAGUCCCUUCUGUUGCAUCUCUUCUUUAUUGUUCUCUGGGUGGACGAAUUGGCUUGAUCAGUUUUUGAUGUGUGAACUAUGGCUGAAAUAUUUGAAUGUUUAAUGUCCAUGAAUGCUCGUUUUGAUGUUUUGGUCUGAUGACAAUGCUUGCUUGACUUCAAAAAUCAAAUUUGGCCUUACUGUAUCAAUGCUAUAACGGGUCCUGGAUUCUUUUUGGGUUACAUACUUUAGCACUAACGAAUGCAUCUGAGAUUGAUCUUGGUUGACUUCUUCAUUGGCAUUUGCGACUGCGGAGCGCGGACAUCUUUUCGGUGUCUUGAUGGCUCUUUUGAGGAUAGGGCGAGAGAUUCACCUGUGGAAGUAAUGCGUUCUCUCUUUGCAAAAGAGAAGCUGCCUUAGAAAUGAAUGCCUCUUUUGGCUACGAUUUUUCGAAAGUCUUAACUUUUUGAAGAGGAGUUAAGCGGGUAAAUGCUAUCUUUUCUUAUACACAUUUAGUAUGUGAGCUUCCUGUCCAUAGUCUGCACUAUAUUAACUCUGCUAAGCUUUCGGCAGGAUUCUUGGCUGUUUGUGGUGCUUUGAUACACGGUCCUGUUACUUUCAUGUCAUAGGACAAGGUGUUAGUCUUAAAAAUUCUGAAUAGUCCUUUUGUCCUCAGGAAGCUAUUACUUUGUACUGAUGGAUGAGUUCUUUCUCAGUAAAACGUGAUCUUUUGGAAGCUUUGGUGAGCAUGCCAAUUUGAUUUGCAUUUUCUUCUUCCUAGCAAUCUCCCGUCUCUUGUUAUCAUCUUGGUGGAAGAUAUCUGGUCUUUGUCUCCUCCGUUUGCAUGGUGCUUCUAUCUUGUUAGGUUUCCCGGAUAAGUUACCCUUUCAGGUGUAAUGAUGGCUUUUCCUUUGAAUUGGCAAUGUUCCUAAUAAACACAUGGUUCUUUUUGCUUGGGCAGCUGUGCGUGCAUUGACUUGCAUUUUUGCACUGAUGAUCUUUGCUGCACACAUUCAGCCAAUCAUUUGUGAUUGAUCAUGUAUCUUCCCCCCUAUUCUUUUAGAAGUUGUGCUUGCUCCAUCUAAAUUUGAUACUCUUGGAAUAAGAAACAACCGGAUAUGACCAUCUCCUUUUCAGUUUUUCUCUGUAGUUACUUGGUUAAGGUUUUUGUGCAUUCUUAAAUAUGGUUCUGUAAAUGAAUAUUUUCUUUUCCCGUUGCUUGUCAAAAUAUUUGGAGAUCAAAGUGGCAACAUGUGCUCAGCUGGGAAGAGUACACUAUUCUUCCUUGUUAGAAUCAGAGGGGAAUUUUAUCAAGGUAUUGGUUAAUUUUCAAGUAGAGUUUGACAGUAGAUUCUAUCAAAUUUCUGUUGAUCUAUGCGACUUUCUUUAUAUAGUUAUUUCUUCAAUCUCAGAACUAGUCACAUGCAUAACUUGAUCCCUAAUGUCAAGGACUUUCUUAAUAGAUUUUUCAUAAUUUCAAAAAUCAUUCUAGAGUCCACCCCCCCAAAAAAAAAAAAGAAAAGAAAAGAAAAGGGGAGCUGAAAUAGGAAACCCAAAGGAUCCUAAUCAUUAAAUUACAAAGUACAAAAAUGUCCAUGGGAACGCGGUGACCAAAUCACCAUAUGAGUUAUAAUAACUCUACACUAGGAAAUAAAAACCAUAGCAGACCACGAAAUCACAUUUAUGGAAAUUCAAGACUAGGAAUUUAAUUACGUAGAGUACAUCUUGGAGGGAAAAGCUUGUGUGCGCGAUGUUAGCGAAGUCUAGUUCUGUCGAUGGAUGAGGAGACCAUAAUAGCAAGCAUGGACUGCGUUUUAAUCUUGUGCUGAAACUUUAUCAUCAUAAGCCCUAUUUCUUCAGUCUUGUCUUCUCCAUUAUCCACUGAUGCUUCCAUUGCUUCAGCCUCUACACAAUCCAAGUGCAUGCCAUAAUCGCAGUCUGUGCAACAGUAGCACCAGCAUCCCUUGGCGAUGCUCUCCCAGCACAUGUCGGAUCAGGCUCUAUUCUUGCGUCUGGGAAUAGCACAAUGUGAGGGUGCUCGUGGUCCUUGCGCUUUGCCCUUGUCACCAAGUCGGUGCACUCCACAUAGAGAUCGUAUUGGUGGAUCGAGCAGUUGUAGGAGGAUGUGUCCCCGUCAUCUCCACAUGCGUCACAAGUGAACUCUCUCCCCUCGUAAGGUGGCGAGAGGAGGAAAUGAAGCGGGUACUCAGGGUGCAACUCAUGAUGAAUAGUUCUCAUUGGUUGUCGCUGUCCACCACUGUCUGGUAAUGCUUUUGGUACUUUGAUAGACCCAUGUUAUUGGGUUGCUGGGACGACGGUGCCCUGAAGGUUGGUGUAGGGAAGUUGGUAGCAGGGGAUUGGUGCUCUUCGAUAGCCUCCACAUUUGGUUGCUUUGCCAACAUCCCGAAACUCGAUGGCCUGGUGAUGUCCUGAGCCGGUUAUUGGUGCUCGAGGUAGAAGGAGAAGAGUGAGGCUGCAUAGCUCACGUGUGGGAGAAUGAUCUCCUGAAGCGGGAGAGGGUUGUUGGUACAAUGGACAUGGAGGUCGAAGUCGCACGGCACACAAGAGUAAGAGAUGCCGGUGCAAGGGUGGCAAGGGCAGCAGAGGAAGGAGGCAGAGGGGUAGGCUGGGGAGGACAUUAGAAUGAGGGGGGUGGGAAUGGUGGUGGACAGGACGCUUCGCAUGGAAGCAGUGCAAAUGAAGGAAGUAGCUGCACUAGAUGCAGGCGAAGACGUCCAAUGGCGCUUCGACCUGGGAUUCGCAUUCGAAGCAUUGAAUCGGAUGGUCAAGCCCUUAUUGAAAGGGUUGGCAAAGGAUCAGGUUGUGUGGAUGGCUGAAAUGCUUGUGUGACUCCAUCCAUGAAUUAGGCUGUGUGUGUGUGUGAAAGAGCGAAGGGAGGGAGGAAGGUUGGCUUAUGAAUUCCACUAGGAACUGCUCAUAUAAGCAGGAAAUAGUGGAUGUCGAGGAAUCAAUGGAAAAACAUUGAAUAUUCUCUAAAUGAUGUGUUGGACAGAGUCAAUUACAAUAUACAACACUUAUGUAAAAACUUGUGUUUUUCAGUUGGAUCCAAUGUGAAUUUUAUUAUGUCUUGAUAUGUGAUUGCCAUAAUCUAUU